AAAUAUAUAUAAAUAAUAGGUUUCUAAAAUUUAUAUUUUAGUAAAAGGGAAAGUGGUUAGAAUCCACUACAGCCCCCGCUACUGUAAUAGCAGAUGAAUCUCAAUGUAUCCACUGGUUUAUAUACUGGGAAGGAAGAGAGGAGGAUGAAGCUUAAGUCAGGAUACCUACCUAUUAUUAAUUAAAUCCG
rnacentral:ncRNA from 17 species